rnacentral:lncRNA from 1 species
GUGGAACCUCGCGGUGCUUCCUGAGUCUACACUGAGUCUCGAGUGGGCGGUGACUGGGCAGCCGGUCCCAAGAUCUUUUCGAGGCUCAAAGUCCCCUCAACUCCUUCGUGUCCGAGUCCGAGCUCUGUCUUGUAUCCGAGAUCUAGUGGGACGUGAGGUAGUUGCACGCCAUUACCUCAGCGCCAGCCGCCUUGCAGCUCCGGAGACCAAGCGGUGAGGCUAAAGAGGCCGAUGCACCUGGCCCUUCCAAGCAGUCCCCCUCACCCUCCAGCCAGAGGACGUCUAGGAGCCUGAAGCCAGCCGAGUUACCCAGGGGACAAGGCUGUGUCCUGAAGGCCGGUGUUGCUGAGGCUCUGCCCUUCGGAAGCUGUGGAACUGACAACUUUGAAGCCCUGAGAGGAUCUGCAAAAUUCUGAUUUAGGACCCAGGAGGCCUUGAACUUGCUCAGAGUUAUAUGCUGUGGACAGUACAUCCUAGAGAAUUUGGUGCUUGCUGUUUUUAGAGGGCUAUUUUCUCCUGGGCCAGCCCCCAGCUAAAACAGGAAGUGAGGAUUUUAAGAGAUGAUCCUAGGAGCUUGAAAUUUAAGCUGACCUCCUCUGUCAUUAGCCACAAAGCUUUAGCCUAAAGUGGUGGCGCAUGUCUUUAAUCCCAGCACUUGAGAGGCAGGUGGAUCUUUGUGAGUUCUGGCCAGCCUGGUCUACAGAUCGGGUUUGUACUGGCUAGUUUUGUGUCAACUUGAGUUGACACAGUCUGGAGUCUGGUGUGGUAGUCUUGGUUCUAUAAGAAAGCAGGCUGAGGGCUGGUGAGAUGGCUCAGUGGGUAAGAGCACCCGACUGCUCUUCCGAAGGUCAGGAGUUCAAAUCCCAGCAACCACAUGGUGGCUCACAACCAUCCGUAACAGGAUCUGACGCCCUCUUCUGUAGUGUCUGAAGACAGCUACAGUGUACUUACAUAUAAUGAAUAAAUAAAUCUUUGAAAAAAAAAAAAGCCAGGGGAAGCAAGCCAGUAAUGAACAUCCCUCCAUGGCCUCUGCAUCAGCUCCUGCUUUCUGACCUGCUUGACUCCCAGUCCUGACUUCCUUUGGUGAUGAACAGCAGUGUGGAAGAGUAAGCCGAAUAAACCCUUUCGUGGCCAUGAGGUUUGUGCAGAAAUAGAAACCCUGACUAAGACAGGGUUCCAGGACAGAGAAGCUCUUAUCUCAAAAAACCAAAACAAAUCAAAAGACAAUGAAGCUCUGCUAUUUUCCUCCACUUCAGUAUGAGGGGAAUCACCGCUCCUCCUGCCCCCAGUGAGAUGGAAAUGGCAGCUAUAGGAUACUAUAAUAUAUAUAUAUAUAUAUAUACAGGGGCAAUACUGUGGAUACCGUAAUAUGAUGUAUAUAUACAGGGGUAAUACUGUGGAUACCGUAAUAUAAUAUACAGGGGUAAUACUGUGGAUACCAUAAUAUGAUAUAUAUACAGGGGUAAUACUGUGGUUACAUUGGAAUUCUUUGAGCUGUUCCCCAAAUCAUCAAUUUUAGGAUCUGAAAGGACAUAAGAGAUUCUGUAGUAGUUUCCUCAAGAAGCCAGCACUGGCUGUGGUAGCCCAUGCCUUUAGUAGUAGAAUUAAAGAAAGAGAAGGCAGAAUCAGGCUGAGUUUUGUGAAUUUGAGGUCAGCCUAGUAUAUAUAGCGAGUUCCAAGACAGCUGGACUACAUAGAGACCCUGUUUCAAAAUAAGUAGGUAAACCAAAAACAAAUCAAACAGUCAUCGCCUUGGAAUGUAGGCAGAGCACUUGAUUACCAUGUGUGAGGCACCCUCUCCUUCAGACAUCCUCAUCAGGAAAUAAAAUUAAUUCGAUUCUGUUUGG